rnacentral:tRNA from 1 species
GGAAAUACAGCUAAGUGUUAAGAGUGCUUGCCUUGCAAUCAUGACACCCUGAGUUCAAACCUCAGUACUUCAA